rnacentral:misc_RNA from 1 species
GAUGAAGAACGUAGCGAACUGCGAUAAGUAAUGUGAAUUGCAGAAUUCAGUGAAUCAUCGAGUCUUUGAACGCACAUUGCGCCCCCUGGCAUUCCGGGGGGCAUGCCUGUCCGAGCGUCAUUGCUGCCCUUCAAGCCCGGCUUGUGUGUUGGGUCGUCGUCCCCCCCGGGGGACGGGCCCGAAAGGCAGCGGCGGCACCGCGUCCGGUCCUCGAGCGUAUGGGGCUUUGUCACCCGCUCUGUAGGCCCGGCCGGCGCCAGCCGACACCCAACUUUAUUUCUAAGGUUGACCUCGGAUCAGGUAGGGAUACCCGCUGAACUUAAGCAUAUCAAUAAGCGGAGGA